AUUGAACGCUGGCGGCAGGCCUAACACAUGCAAGUCGAGCGGGGUUUUCGGACCUAGCGGCGGACGGGUGAGUAAUGCGUAGGAAGCUACCCGAUAGAGGGGGAUACCAGUUGGAAACGGCUGUUAAUACCGCAUAAUGUCUACGGGCCAAAGUGUGGGACCUUCGGGCCACAUGCUAUCGGAUGCGCCUACGUGGGAUUAGCUAGUUGGUGAGGUAAUGGCUCACCAAGGCGACGAUCCCUAGCUGGUUUGAGAGGAUGAUCAGCCACACUGGAACUGAGACACGGUCCAGACUCCUACGGGAGGCAGCAGUGGGGAAUAUUGGACAAUGGGCGCAAGCCUGAUCCAGCCAUGCCGCGUGUGUGAAGAAGGCCUUCGGGUUGUAAAGCACUUUCAGUAGGGAGGAAGCGUUGUGUGUUAAUAGUACACAGCGUUGACGUUACCUACAGAAGAAGCACCGGCUAACUCUGUGCCAGCAGCCGCAGUAACAC
rnacentral:rRNA from 1 species